rnacentral:ncRNA from 2 species
UGUCCAUAAUGCGGUAAAGGUGUCUUUUAGUAGACUUAAUAGGGAAUCCGGUGAAAUUCCGGAACUGUUCCCGCAACUGUAAGUGCAGACGUUCUUGAUAAUCCACUGUCUAAGCAGGCUUAACGGCUCUUAUAUGGGAAGGAUCAAGAUAGGAAGAAGCACGAGUCAGGAGACCUGCCUUUAGCGAUUAUAGUUU